CGUUUCAACUUAUAGGAGGUCACGUACGCAAAAAUGCUAUUGACUUUAGGUACCUAAACUCAUCUCUCUAUUCAACUUUUCUUGCGAAUUGAAUUCCUGUGUGAUGCCAUCAAAAACAUUACUUGUAAAAAAACAAAAUUGCAACGUUGUUCCUCUACCGUAAAAAGUUGUGAGAUACCUGUAAUCCAUACUUACGCUCUCUUUAAUCGGCAGCUCAUGUCCAAGCGUCGUGGUCAGCAACGAAGCAUCUAGAGCAGACUAUCUGUUUCUACCGGUUUCUGUCCAGCGCCUCUAUUACGACAGUGUACAGUUUUCAGGACGAUGAGUUGAUGAGACUUUCACUUGACGGUACACCUGGUUGGUGAACGGCCACGUGAUGUUUUGCCUUCUGUGUUACCUACCACGAUCUGAUUCUCCAAGUUCUCAUCGCCUCUGCGCAUUGUAUGACCGAAAUAAGAUACGAUUGGUAGAUAGUGACCAUAUCAGUAUUAGAAAUCUUUUGUGUUUUAAAUAAAUACAUUGACUUGGCCAUCGUAGCAAACACAAUAUUCAAUUACAUUGUUUUGUGCGAUUCAGGAUUCUAACUUUAUCCACAACGAAGUUAAAGGGGUCGAAAAUGGCCUGAACUCAAGAAAAAGAUAGUAUGGCCCAGUUUCUUUUUUGCUCGACAUGGCGAGCGCAUCGCCUUGCCACCAAAUUAACUGAUAUUAUGAAACUUCUUUCACUCCUUGAAGGUCGUGUCUAGUACAUUAAAUAUAAUAAUGACAUAAUGUCAUUCAAAUUAUAAUAUUAAAAUAAAGGUCAUUUGUAUUCACAGAGUAGAGCAAGAUGUGACAGUGACUGUCUAAUGAUGAUUUUUGUUUUUGCACAGUUACUCUAACAAUUAAAAUAUUAUUUGAAAUUGCUUUUUCCAGGUAUCCAUGUCGAUAAUAAUAAUGAUGAACGCCAUCACGUUAUUUCUCAGCAUAUUCCUUUUCACAUCUGUCUAUGGUCUGGACGGCUCUGGUAGUUGGCUGAAUAGUUUUUCAAACAUGGGUCCUGGGUGAAAAAUCUUGAUUUGAGACCUAAUAUAGCCGUUCAUGUUUCACGGCCACGGGCGAAGUUGGUGAAUGCGGAUCAUAUUACAACUGUUAUGAUGCGCCCCAGGAUGAUAUAGGAAGCACAUCCGGAUGUUUACACUACCUUCAUGUCUGCUGUAUAAAUGUGCCUACCGAUGAUGAGGAUUUAGAAAUUUAAAACUUAAUUUAAUGAAAUGUUUUAGGUAGCAUAAUGCUCACUAAACAAUAGUUCAUUUAAUCUAUAAUUACAUUUACAGCCAGUUUUAAAGGGCGAUAAACUCUCCCUCUUUAAAUCGCCAUUUUAGUUUACAAGAGACGCGUUAAUCUAUAAUAAUUCUCAUGAGACAGCGAAAUAUAGUGAAGUGUAUUAAAGUGAACGGGAUACAAAAUGGUGUCUUUGUUCUGUGUUAUGAAACAUCUUGUUUAUGUUCUAAUAUGUACAAAAUUGACAAAAACUGCAGAAGACGAACUAAACAUCAAAAGAAACUUUAACUCUGACAGGAAUUACCGUCUUAAACGGGAAUUAAUUACAAUAUUCAUAUAAGACGUUGUCGUGGUUUUCAGCACCAGGUAUCUAUGCGAAUUACAAUAUAUUUCAAUGAAUGUUAUUGAAAUGUCAUUACCUAUAAAGAAAACAAAACUUGGAAGCUAUACUGCCGUUGGAGCUUAAAAUAAAUAUUAUCAGUAGAAUCCUUUUACCUAAUAUAGAUUGUUUUUAUUUCCGUAUACUACACACAAUUGACGUGGACAAACAACAAUUUUAUACCUUAUAUCUUCACGUCAUUUUCCCGGUAGGCCGACGAUCUUGCAAAAGUCCUGACAACUCUCUUGCUUCAUCCACUUUCAUGACAUCCACCAUGUAUGCUCGAAUAUGGCUACUUUUAAUUUGUACCUUCUCUUGUAUUGUUUCGUUGUAUAUCCUACUUAAGUGCUCUCAUUCAUCCGUCAGGCCUUGUACAGGGUGACCUUGUGUCUGAGAGACAUUUGACUCCUUUUAUUUAGGAGGAAA